UACCAGCUCUUCGAGUGGUGUGGAUGUUUAUUGGGCCUAAAGCAUCCGUAGCUGGCUGGGCAAGUCCCCUGUUAAAUCCACCGAUUUAAUCGUUGGAGUGCGGGGGAUACUGUUCGGCUAGGGGACGGGAGAGGCAGACGGUAUUUUCGGGGUAGGGGUGAAAUCCUAUAAUCCCGGGAAGACCACCAGUGGCGAAGGCUGUCUGCUAGAACGCGCCCGACGGUGAGGGAUGAAAGCUGGGGGAGCGAACUGGAUUAGAUACCCGGGUAGUCCCAGCUGUAAACGAUGCAGGCUAGGUGUUUGAGCGGCCACGUGCCGCUCUAGUGCCGCAGGGAAGCCGUUAAGCCUGCCGCCUGGGGAGUACGGCCGCAAGGCUGAAACUUAAAGGAAUUGGGCGGGGGAGCACCACGAAGGGGUGAAGCUUGCGGUUU
rnacentral:rRNA from 1 species